UACGUAGGGGGCAAGCGUUGUCCGGAAUCAUUGGGCGUAAAGAGCGUGUAGGCGGCUUCGUCAGUCCGUUGUGAAAGUCCAGGGCUCAACCCUGGAAUGCCGAUGGAUACUGCGGAGCUUGAGUACGGAAGAGGCGAGUGGAAUUCCUGGUGUAGCGGUGAAAUGCGCAGAUAUCAGGAGGAACACCUAUGGCGAAGGCAGCUCGCUGGGACGUUACUGACGCUGAGACGCGAAAGCGUGGGGAGCAAACAGG
rnacentral:rRNA from 1 species